AUUGAACGCUGGCGGCAUGCUUUACACAUGCAAGUCGAACGGCAGCGCGGUCUUCGCCCUCGCUUCGAGUUGGCGACUGGCGGACAAUGCAGCAGUACGUCGCCAUCUGCUGUUUCGAGGGGGGUGACAUACGGAAACUUACCCCAAUCCCCCAUACGGCGUACGCGGGGAAGCGAAGGAUCUUCCGCCCUUGCGCGGGCCGAUGUCGGAUUAGCUAGUUGGUGGGGUAAAGGCGUACCAAGGCGACGAUCCGUAGCUGGUCUGAGAGGACGACCAGCCACACUGGAACUGAGACACGGCCCAGACUCCUACGGGAGGCAGCAGUGGGGAAUUUUGGACAAUGGGGGCAAGCCUGAUCCAGCCAUGCCGCGUGCGUGAAGAAGGCCUUCGGGUUGUAAAGCGCUUUUGUUCGGGAAGAAAAGCUGUGGGUUAAUACCCCGCGGUGAUGACGGUACCGAAAGAAUAAGCACCGGCUAACUACGUG
rnacentral:rRNA from 1 species